rnacentral:rRNA from 1 species
ACGCACGCUGGCGGCGUGCUUCACCCAUGCAAGUCGAACGGAAAGGCUCCAGCUUGCUGGAGUACUCGAGUGGCGAACGGGUGAGUAACACGUGGGUGAUCUGCCCUGCACUUCGGGAUAAGCCUGGGAAACUGGGUCUAAUACCGGAUAGGACCGCACUUUGGUGUGUGUGGUGGAAAGGUUUUUCUGGUGUGGGAUGAGCUCGCGGCCUAUCAGUUUGUUGGUGGGGUAAUGGCCUACCAAGACGGCGACGGGUAGCCGGCCUGAGAGGGUGGACGGUCACAUUGGGACUGAGAUACGGCCCAGACUCCUACGGGAGGCAGCAGUGGGGAAUAUUGCACAAUGGGGGAAACCCUGAUGCAGCGACGCCGCGUGGGGGAUGAAGGCCUUCGGGUUGUAAACUCCUUUCGCUAGGGACGAAGCUUUUUGUGACGGUACCUGGAGAAGAAGCACCGGCUAACUACGUG